AUGCACGCUGGCGGCGUGCCUAAUACAUGCAAGUCGAGCGAACAGACGAGGAGCUUGCUCCUCUGACGUUAGCGGCGGACGGGUGAGUAACACGUGGAUAACCUACCUAUAAGACUGGGAUAACUUCGGGAUACCGGAGCUAAUACCGGAUAAUAUAUUGAACCGCAUGGUUCAAUAGUGAAAGACGGUUUUGCUGUCACUUAUAGAUGGAUCCGCGCCGCAUUAGCUAGUUGGUAAGGUAACGGCUUACCAAGGCAACGAUGCGUAGCCGACCUGAGAGGGUGAUCGGCCACACUGGAACUGAGACACGGUCCAGACUCCUACGGGAGGCAGCAGUAGGGAAUCUUCCGCAAUGGGCGAAAGCCUGACGGAGCAACGCCGCGUGAGUGAUGAAGGUCUUCGGAUCGUAAAACUCUGUUAUUAGGGAAGAACAAAUGUGUAAGUAACUAUGCACGUCUUGACGGUACCUAAUCAGAAAGCCACGGCUAACUACGUG
rnacentral:rRNA from 1 species